GUCUCGGUAGCUCAGUUGACAGAGCGAUGGGCUGGUGUUUCAGAGUCGCGAGUUCGAUUCUCGCCCGAGAUA